GACGAACGCUGGCGGCGUGCCUAAUACAUGCCAGUAGAACGCACAGUUUAUACCGUAGCUUGCUACACCAUAAACUGUGAGUUGCGAACGGGUGAGUAACGCGUAGGUAACCUGCCUGGUAGCGGGGGAUAACUAUUGGAAACGAUAGCUAAUACCGCAUAAUAUUAAUUAUUGCAUGAUAAUUGAUUGAAAGAUGCAAUUGCAUCACUACCAGAUGGACCUGCGUUGUAUUAGCUAGUAGGUGAGGUAACGGCUCACCUAGGCGACGAUACAUAGCCGACCUGAGAGGGUGAUCGGCCACACUGGGACUGAGACACGGCCCAGACUCCUACGGGAGGCAGCAGUAGGGAAUCUUCGGCAAUGGACGAAAGUCUGACCGAGCAACGCCGCGUGAGUGAAGAAGGUUUUCGGAUCGUAAAGCUCUGUUGUAAGAGAAGAACGGGUGUGAGAGUGGAAAGUUCACACUGUGACGGUAUCUUACCAGAAAGGGACGGCUAACUACGUG
rnacentral:rRNA from 1 species